AAUCUAUGAUGAUUCCCUUAGUAACGGCGAGUGAACAGGGAAAAGCCCAAAUUUGUAAUCUGGCACUUUUUACAAGUGUCCGAGUUGUAAUUUGUAGAACUGUUAUCCGCGCUGGACCAUGUACAAGUCUGUUGAAAAGCAGCAUCAUUGAAGGUGAAAAUCCUGUAGAUGAUAUGGACUACCAGUGCAUUUGUGAUACGGUUUCUAAGAGUCGAGUUGUUUGGGAAUGCAGCUCAAAGUGGGUGGUAAAUUCCAUCUAAGGCUAAAUAUAAGUGAGAGACCGAUAGCAAACAAGUACCGUGAGGGAAAGAUGAAAAGAACUUUGAAAAUAGAGUUAACAGUACGUGAAAUUGCUGAAAGGGAAACGUUUGAAGUUAGUUUUGUAUUCGUUGGAUCAGCUUCGCAAGGAGUGUAUUCUGAUGAUAAGCAAGUCAACAUCAAUCUAUGAGUGUCGGAGAAGGGUUUUGAGAAUGUAGCAAUUUUUAUUAAUUGUGUUAUAGCUUGAGACUUGGAUACGAUGCUUUGGAUUGAGGAACGCGUAGUAAGC
rnacentral:rRNA from 1 species